rnacentral:rRNA from 1 species
UACGAAGGGUGCAAGCGUUAUCCGGAUUCAUUGGGCUUAAAGGGUGCGUAGGCGGUGUGUUAAGUCAGUGGUGAAAUCCUGCAGCUUAACUGUAGACUUGCCAUUGAUACUGGCACUCUUGAGUGCGCUUGAAGUAGGCGGAAUGUGCCGUGUAGCGGUGAAAUGCUUAGAUAUGGCGCAGAACACCAAUUGCGAAGGCAGCUUACUCAGGCGAUACUGACGCUGAGGCACGAAAGCGUGGGGAUCGAACAGG